GUCAGUUCUGGGCUCAAGAAACAAGCACUGAGUGGUGCGAUCACAUCGUUAUGCAGGCGGAGGUAAUUGUAGCUGAUAUCUCACUCCUGAAGGUAAGCAAGGCUGCAAGGGAGCACUUCCUGCAUGCAUGUGGCUGCAGCCUGGAUCCGUAUGCUGCUAGCUUGUGUGCUGCAAUGGUGUCGUCUGAAGUAAUUGCCCAGUGGUGUGACAAAGUGGCCUACCGCAGAGGAAGAAACAAGGCAGCUCUCCCAAUAAAUCUUCGGCAGAGGAUUGCAGAUUACCUCUAAGAAAGUUUCCUGGAGAUCUCUGUGAAGGAUUCAUCGGACAUCCCAGUGUGUAUAAACAAAUUUUUCUGUAGGGCCCCCUCUGUCUAGCUCUACAGGGGAAUGAGAAGCAGAUAGCAACUCUACCUGUAUUGGUUAUUUCACUACCUUUUGUAGCCUGAUUUAAAAAAAAGCAUUACUUGAGUAGAUGUGUCCCUAAGGUAUUGAAGCAAACUGAGUACAUACCAGAGCUUCCAUCCCCUGCAUCAGGCUCAGCUCACUGGACUGCAGGGAGUGGCUAGAUUGCUCUCGAGUCAAAAAGGCGUCCUGGCUCCCCACUCCACCAGAUCUCCCUGUUGCUUGUCUCCCAUUCUCCUCCACUUCCUUGUCCAGCAUGUUUUCCUCAAGGUUCACUCUGGUGGCCAGUGAAUCCAGCCCGCCCCCCCUCCCGAAGUAGCCACAGGGCUCUUGGCGAUGGAGGUGGGGUCGCCGCUGAGGAUGGCAUGCAGCUCCUUGUAGAAGCGGCAUGUCUGCGGCUCUACACCAGAGCAGCUAUUUGCUGCCCUAGCAUUCUGGUAUGUCUACCUGAGCUCCUUGAGUUUUACACGGCACUGCUGCAUGUCCCUGGCAUAGCCUUUGUCCUCCAUGACCCGAGUGAUCUGGCCUUAGAUAUCAAAGUUCCUGCUGCUGGAGUGGAGCUUUGAGUGCACAGCCUCCUCUCCCCACAGACCCAGUAGAUCCACCACUUUCGUUGUACUCCAGGCAGGAGCGCAUUUGCUGCAUGGAGCUGGCCUGGUCAGUUGCUAUGUUAGCUCGCAUACCAAGCAGACAGGAAGAGCAGUUUCAGAACUUCCCUGGGGUUUUAAAAGGGAAGGGCUGUAUACCUGGCUGCAGGGAAGCAGAGUGAUCACGAUGGGCAUUGGAGCACACCUUCCGGAGGCUACUUAGGUCGACGCAAGCAAUGCAGUGUCUUCACCAACACUGUGUCGCUCUAACUGUCACCAUAAGCGUUACGCCUCUUGUCAAGGUGGUUUUAUGAAGUCGGUGUAGCAGGCGUGGGACAGUGGCGGGAAGAGCAUGGUAGUGUGUAUGUCUCCAUAGUUAGAAUGACGUAAGCUGCCUUAUGUUGACUUAACUUGGUAGUGUAGACAAGCCCUUGUUUAAAAAAAUCACUGUCUUUCAGUGCAGUUGGUGUGUUUUUAAAGUUUUAAACCUUUGAAAAUCCUUUCUGCAUUAGCAGCAUUUUCGACUGCUUCAGACUGAGACUAUACUGAUUUCAUACAGAGGAAACGCUGUAAUAAAACCCUAUUUGCCUUGUUUUUUGAAA